UACGAAGGGGGCUAGCGUUGCUCGGAAUCACUGGGCGUAAAGCGCACGUAGGCGGACUCUUAAGUCGGUGGUGAAAUCCUGGAGCUCAACCAUCGCAGUGCCUUUGAUACUGGAUGUCUUGAGUGUGAGAGAGGUGAGUGGAACUCCGAGUGUAGAGGUGAAAUUCGUAGAUAUUCGGAAGAACACCAGUGGCGAAGGCGACUCACUGGCUCAUUACUGACGCUGAGGCUCGAAAGCGUGGGGAGCAAACAGG
rnacentral:rRNA from 1 species